UCUUGAUCUGUUCAGUGGGAGC
rnacentral:snRNA from 1 species